ACCAAAAUAAUACUUUGGUAAGAAAAAUAAUUGGGGUCAAUAGCUGUGUGUUAAUGUGCAAAAAAAUUGGCAACGGGCGAAGGGCGAAGGGCGAAGAAGAGGAAAAUGAAGAAGCUUGCAAGGAAAUGGCGCAAUUCAGGAGACGACAAGUUCUCUCUUCCCAUCCACGACGAUGAAGACUCUCGUCCCAUGGGCCCUCAAGAGCAAGAAGAGUUUGUUCGCUCUUUAGAGGCCACUCAAGCUGAGAAUAAUCGCUUUUGGAGGAGGGUGUUUGCCAUUCUGCUCUUCUGUUACAUGCAGUUUCUUUUGUAUUCCAUCUUCAAACAGGUUACAUCUCCAUGGGAGAUGAGGCCUUAUGCCUAUUUCAUGGAGGACAUCUACUCAUGGAUGAUUAUCUCUGCAGACUGGAUGGCUGUUUUAGUGUGCUCAUUUUCCAUGAAAGGAUUGAUUGAUGAGUCAGUGCAUCACAGAAGAUGGAUCUGGUACUCGUGGUUUACUGCCAUUGUUCCUGCAAUGUUCUGGUUAUAUUACAUGUUGAGUACAUUUGAACCAAUGCAUAUUCAAGAAAGCAUUCAAGAAAAUCAAGAUGUUAUGCCUGCUCUGGUAAUAUUUUCCAUUCUAUAACUGCUUCCUAUACUAUCUUCAGCUAUUCUUUCUGCUGUUUAUAUCCCCCUUCAAAUAUGUGCUAUUUCAGGUGCUUCCCUCACCUCUAAUAUAUAACACUAAUUUUCUUAUAGGCUGCCUAAAUUCCGAUGGGAUGUUAUCUUUCUGCCAUUUGGUCCUCUUGGGGGAGCCACAAUCUGCCUCUACGUGGAUCAUUUGCUAAGUGAGUCAUCAGAAGAGAUAAGAAAGCUUCGUGGGUACAUGUAUAGCUAUAAAGCAGGCUAGAGUGGACAUUGUGCCCUGGUGAUAUGGGAAGCAAUUUUUGGAAUGGAUUGACCGGAUAACCUGUGAAUUAUUUUCAAUCAGUCAUAUGGAUUGAGGCUGAUACCCUUAUCAGCCAACAACAGCAGGGAGAGUUAAGAUAGGAACAGUCACCUGAUCAGAGAGCAAGUGACAUGGUUUAAGGUGGCAUCUGGUGGAGUGGCGAUGUUUUGGUGAGAUGUGGUAGUAGCAAUUUUGGAUGCUAUAAUAAUUUUCGUUUUACUGAGCAACUUAGUGAAUCACAUUUCUCUAAAGUUUAUGCAAGUUGUGUCAUUGCUGUUAAUCAACAGAAUUUUAUAGCUGUUCGUACCUUGCGUGAAUUUGCCAUUACGGCUGACAAGUUUAGACUUUAGACAUGUUAACUUACAUGGGUAUUGAAUUGUUUGCAAAAUAGGUUGGAUAUUGAAAAAGAACAAUUGAACUUUUUGUGGGAAUUUCAGUGGGUUCCUUGCUUUAUUGGCUGAAGAUAGGCAGCAUAAUGCUAAGCGAAUACCUCUGAUUUUUGCUUGUGAAUAAGAACAAAAAUCGUGGAAGAA